UACGUAGAGACCAAGCGUUGUUCGGAUUUACUGGGCGUAAAGGGCGCGUAGGUGGCGCGGGCAGUCAACGGUGAAAGUUCGGGGCUCAACCCUGAAUCGGCCGUCGAUACUCCCGGGCUUGAGCACUGUAGAGGCAGAUGGAAUUCCGGGUGUAGCGGUGGAAUGCGUAGAGAUCCGGAAGAACACCGGUGGCGAAGGCGGUCUGCUGGGCAGUAGCUGACACUGAGGCGCGACAGCGUGGGGAGCAAACAGG
rnacentral:rRNA from 1 species